rnacentral:sRNA from 1 species
CAAACUGACUGAAUCUGAUGUCAAAUGAC